GGCUGUCAUGACACAUGGAACACUUGGUAAAUGGCAUGCAGAAGUUUUCUUCAGAAAGAGGGAAACCAGCAGCUUUCCAGCAAGGCUCUGCUGGAGUUAUCUGCUCAGAUUGAAUACCAAGCACUUUUCAGGGCAUCCUUCUGAUCAUGUGUUGGUGCCUUUGCUGUGUGCAGCAGCUGCGCCUCCUUUGCACCACUGAGACACCUGACUGCAGCCCCAGCUUCAGCAGCAGGACAGACAUCUGAGCAUCUCAGGUAGAAGAUCUAAAAUCCAAACUUGCUACUCAAGAGGCAGAACUGCAACUGAAAAACCAAGAUACUAAAGCUUUGAUUGCUAAGAUAGGGUUUCAGACUGAGAAACUGAGCCAAGAAAAGGCCAUUGCAGAUGCAGAGGAGCUAAAGGUCAGUCUAAUUCUCCUAUUUACUGAUGUUGAGCUAUAUUUAACACAAAAUAAACCUUUUUAGGUGAACAGUUUUGAACAACUUCCUCUCCAGGGAGCAUAAAGUCUAAAGAAUUAUUAUACUUACACGUGUAACAGCAUUUCACACCAUGAU